rnacentral:lncRNA from 1 species
AAGCUCGAUAUGCAUAAUUGAUCAAGAUAGAGAUACUUAGACAUAGGGAGAAGCCCGAUUGCUUCGGGAUGACACCCCCCACCUUUUACCGCGUUCCGAUUGCUUGUCGUCACUUGCAAUCGGCCUCCCGCGGCGCACGCCGCUCGGCUUGACCCAAUCCGUGCGCGACCACCAAACGACCUCCGAUCCGCGAUCCGAAAAUUAAAGGUCUUCGGUUUCUUGUUCCGAUGCUUCAAAUCCGUUUUCAGGAUUUUACGACGUCGCCUCGGCCCUCCAGGCGAAAACAAAGCCUAACGUCCGUUUCUUUAAUAUCUUUGUAACGGCUCGUCGGAUUGCCGAACCGUCUUCGCCAACGCGUUUCGUUACCUAGCAAUUAGGUUAACAGAGGGUUAAAAGAGAUCAAACCCAACAAUUUAUAAAAAUCCCAUUUUGAGCCCUAGAUUUCAACUAUUGUAAGAAUACUCUACUACAACCUUAGAUUCAUGCAAUAAUCAUCUAUUAGGCAUCAAUGGGCUCCACUAAAAUCAUUUCCAAAGCAUUUGGACCUAUCUUUAGAGAUCUACCAUUAAAGCCCUCAUUUUGGAGCUCUAGGUUUCAAUAGGUAAAAAUCCACCAUUAGAACUUAGGAUCUAAGCAGAACUCAUCUACUUAGCAUCUAGGAAAGCUACUAAUUCGUUUCUAGAGCUUAAAACCCAAGCAAUAGAGAAAUGCCAUUAAAGCUCUUAAAGCUUACCUUCAAAGCAUGCUCCAAUGGAGAGGAAGAAGAUGAAGUUGAUGAAAACCCACCCUUGAGCUUCAAUCUCCACCAAAAUCCAUCUAGUUUGGGAGAGAUUUAGAGAGAGAAAGGGAGCUUUAGAGAGAGAGAGGGAGAGUUUCUCUCUCCUUCAAUCCAUGCGUGUGUGCGUGUGAUGCUUGGGUGUGCACGGUUGAGGGAAGAAGAAGAAGCUGCUGCUUCUCUUAUAAUUAACACCCCUCAAAACACUAUUCAUCCCGGGCAGCUUGAAAUCUGAUAUCUUUCGCCGGAGCUCCCUGAAUGUCCGUUUGAGCUCAAACUUGACAGUCAUGUUCGGUUUUACUUAACUUAACAAGCUGACGAUCACUGAUUCAGUUUCGACCCCGUUUGGUCACUGAAAACUGUACCGAACUGCAAUCUUUAUCAGAUAGCUUUCGGAUUUUAUUUCUCACUCUAUGGGUGUCAGAAAAAUAUGAAACCUUAAAUCUAGCCUCAUAAAAAUAUUUCUGACAUCUCUGCCAAUUUUCAUAAUUUUCUGAGACUGUGCAUUUUCUGCUAAUUUAUCUGCCCCGUUUCCAACAGAAAAUUCUAAAUCUUCUGUUUUAAUUCCGAUUUCAGCACGGGUCAUUCCCAACUUAUAUUUCACUUCUCUAAAUUCAAUAAAAUAGUAUCUCAUACUAUUUUUAUUUAUUUCUAUUUUUAUAUUUAAAUCCGGUAUAUUACAUUACACCGCAACCUUACCGGAAUCAUUCAAAUGGCUCUCCAACCAAAUGGACACCGUAACCUCAUGAUUUUAGAAGUCCGGUACCUUACAUUCUCCCCUUCUUAAUAAGAGUUUCGUCCCCGAAACUCAAAUCACUCCUUAACUCGACUUAUCGAGCAAUCGGAAAUUCCAAUACACUUUCCCACCUCGGAGUGGCCUUUCACUUAUUAGAACUGUUCAAAGGCCCACCUCGGAGGAUGUGAGACUAGAUAUGCUCACAUUUGCUAUGUGCAACAUCAAAAGUGCAUUAUCUUCGAGCUUUCCAGCUCCUCCACUGUAACCCCCGAGGUUUCGGAAGAAAUAUCGAGCUGUAGCGAAAUUGGCUAAAGCAUGCGAAUAAGAUGAAUGGACAAGUCCCAAUUAGCAUUCCAACACAGUUGGAAGAGCUAAAAGUAAGCUCAAAAAGAGUUGAAAGGGUUUUGGUAUCGAAUGGCGCGAAAGAGAGUGGAAACGAAGUCAAAAAUGACAUUCUGGAUGUCUUGUACCGGUACAAGACCAAUGGUUGUACCGGUACAACCAGCGAAGUUCAAGGCUUGGAGCUGCCAGGCCUUGUACCGGUACAAGGGGUCUUGUACCGGUACAAGCCCUGCGCAACCGAGAGAGCUAGCUCUCGGGUUGGGCUGUCUGCCAGGCCUUGUACCGGUACAAGGUCCCGUGUACCGGUACAAGGAGGCCGAAACAGCAGGAUGAGUUGCAGAUUUUGGAAAAACAGACGGGCUUAAUAGGAUAUUGUUACAACAUGUGAUGAGGGGUUAUUAGAGAGAGUAUUUCCUCUCUCUCUCCCACUCCCACAGCCCCUCUCUCUCUCUCUGUUCGUGCAAACCGGAGAAGAGGAAAGAGAAGAGGAAAAGAAAAAGAGAAGAAGAAAAAGAGAAGGAAAAGAAGGAGAAGAUGGAGGAGAGGAAGAGGAUCAUCACCAUCAUCAUCCUCUUCAUCUUCUUCUCUCCCUUGGAGCUCUAAGAGAGGUAAGCUUCCAAGCCUCUCAUGGUAGAUUUUUGUAGAAUGGGUUUUAAACCCUAGAUCUUUGGUUUUGAUCUACCUACAAGCUCUAGAACCUUGUAGAGGCCAAGAACCCAUGAAAUCCAUGGUGUUCUUCAUGAGGCUCUAAUGGUGGAUUUCUAGGGUUUGCUUUAAACACCCUAUAAAUGGUUCGAAUGCUCCUAUUUGAGCUCCUAGAUGAUAAACAAGCUCUCUUUUGCUUGUUUUAUAGAUCAAAUCCAAAGUAUUGAGCAUAUGUCAUGUUAGGGCAUCCCAAAGAGGGAUUUUGCUCAUAUGGGGUUUUGAUCUAUUUUGACCGCUUGGAAACCUAAUUGGGGACCUAACGAACGCGUUGAAACGCUUUGUUCGACAAUCCGACGAGUAUACGCGAAGUUAUUGACGAAACGGUCAGUUCUGGUACAGAUAGCCGCAGCACGCGGGAUAAGCGCCUAAAAAUCGUGAGAUCGGAACCGGAGCAUCUUGGAGUCAAGGAAUAAGCACCGGAAAAGACGGAUCGCGAUUCGGAGGUCGUUUGCUAAGUCGCGCAAGAGAUCGGGCCCAAACGGGUGCCGAGUGCCGCGGGAGGCCGAUUGUAAGUGUCGACAAGCAAUCGGAACGCAAGUUAAGGUGGGUUGUGCUUACCGAAGCGACUAGGUCGCCCUUUAUGUCUUAGCAAUGUAAUCUCAUGUUGAUGCAUAUGCAUGUAGACAAGACUAAAUGGUGCAUUAAUAAAUAUGCAUAGAGUAAAUGCAAGUAAAAUAAAGAAUGCAUGAUGAGCAUGAUAAAUAAAUAAUGCAAGCAAGUAAUUGGAAUGCAUGAUGAUAAUAAUGCAUAGUGUAAAUGCAUGUUAAAUAAUGAUGCAUAGAGCCAUCCUAGUAAAUGUUAAGUAGAGAGCAUGAUUAACAUAAGAUGCAAAUGCUAAAUGGAAAGCAUGCUAAGUAAUUAAUGCUAGUCGAUGUAAAGAAUGCAUGUACUAAUUAUGCAUAGAUGGAAAUGCUAAGUAGAGAGCAUAAUGAGCAUAGCAUGUAUAUAAUUAUAGUUAAAGUAGAGAAUGCAAAGUAGCAUCAUGAGAGCUAAGUGACAUGAUAACUCUAGUGUAAAUAGAGUUGAUUGGACAACUAGGUUGUCAGAUAGAUCGAGUGGCAUCUGACCUAGUGUUAAAGAACAUAGGUUGAUUAGUAAACCUAGAGUCGAGCAAUCUAGGUGUGUGGCAUUUAACCUAGUGUCAGUAAACCUAGGUUAAACUAGUAAACCUAGAAAUGGACAUCUAGGCAAAGAUGAUAAGAACCUAGCAAGUGUAUCUAGGCUAAGUGAUGUGGACAUAGAACCUAGAGUGUUGGAACCUAGGUUGAUGAGUAUAGUGGUAUAGCCACUAGAUUGAGCUAGGUCGACAGUAUAGGGUUGGCUAUGAACCCUCGACCUGUGGUAAGUGGAUUCCGGAAUCCCAAGACUUUGCUAUGUUCCUUGUACGGGCUAGGGCGUUCGUGCGACGACUUCGCCGCCGAGCUUUGUACCGAGGUUAGAUUGGGGGCGAUCAUAUGGAGAUCACCGCCCGGGGCUUGAACCAUUGUCGUGGCAUUUGUGCGACGAUUUCGCCGCCGGAUGGUUAAGCCAUUUGAGGAUCAGACCGCCAGAGUAGACUGAAUCCAUGCUGGGUAAGUACGAUGCGGGUGCCUCCAGGUGACUGAGUCUGACAUGACCGUUGUUGGGUGUGGUGCGACCCGUUCGCCGCCAGACGGUAUGUCAUGUCUCGAGCUCACGCUGGGUAAGUGCAACGCGAUCGCCACCGGUGGUCAAGUCUUGUGACUCGAGCCGUGUUCAGCGUGUGCGACGAUUUCGCCGCUAGGAGGCUCAGUCAGAGAGAGUGCGGUAGGCUGUUGAGCAGCCAGUGCGCGGACUAUCCGCAGAUGAUUGACUCGAAGCCGAGUCGGGUGGUUAGCUAUGAUAGGGUAGAGAAACCCUUAUGAGCUAGAGAUAGAGGCUUGAGCUAAGGUAAUAGAAACCUUAGAAGCUAGUGGUUAGUGUUGUGAUCCUAAGGUAACGGAAACCUUAGAGUAAAGUUAUGAGCUAAAGUGACCAAGUAAAAGUAGAAUUCUAAUGAUCUACUAGUUGUUGCAUGAUUUGCAUAUCGCAUAUUGUGAGGCAUGGCAUGUAUUUCAAUUGAAUAUAUAUAUCUGUUGUAUAUUGUUGAACUAACAUGUUGCAGUACCUCCUCGGACCUAUCGGUCGAGCUUUUCCCUUGGGUGGCCGUACCCACUGGGAACCAUGGAGUUAGUUCUCACCCCACGUUGUUUUGGGGUUUUCAGGUCGUUCGUGUGCGGCGCGGCGGCGCGAGGCGAGGGCGUAGCUCAGUAGAUAGCGCCCCACCACAGAGACCGAGGUAGCAGUACCCUGAGACAAUCUAGCUUAGGGGUCUAGAAGACAAGAAAAGAAAAUGUAUCAAACUUGUAAACUCUGAUGUAAUAGUGAGAUUGUAAUUUGAAAGUAAAAAUGUAAACUGAAACUGUGAUGUAAAGAGUGGUUGUAACAAUGAAUGCUUGUAAUAGCAAGUAGAAUAUGUAUUUGAUACUUCCUUAUGCAAUCUGGAUUGAUAUCCGUUCCUUGUUGGAACAUUCGUUGAUUGUUUGGAUUGCGACGCCUUGGACGUACUGGGGAGACUCUGUCCGCGUACAGGGGAAUUCCCGGUCCGUUCGGCGGUCUGUCGUCGGCGCCGCGACCCGGUCCAAAUAAGCGGUUGGUCGCGGGGCGUGACAUCCACAGAGCCAUCGGCUAAACCGAUUACGUCGGCUUCCACAAGUGGACCAACGGUCCCAAAUACUACGUAGGCCCGGCGCCUAAACCUGUCGCAACUACGCAUAGCGUCUCUCGCUCGCAUCGCAGACCCAAUCAUAACCGGGCGAAAUUCUCACUUGGGAAUUCGCACACACUCCAACCAGGAGCAACCAAGACCCCAAACCACGUCAAGUCCUCGGGUUGGGUCACAUUCAAACUUGGCGCAUCAUCGGUCACACGACCUACGCAUAGCAUUCCACGCUUUCCGGGUCUAAGCUCGGACUACCGCCCCGACCAAAACUCUGCCCUACCUGUAGGUAUCGGGGCGCUGUCACUCACAGCUGACUGUGCCUGCCCAAUGGGCUCAGGCUCCACAGUCCACAAAUGGUCCAGGCACGGGUCGUCCCUAAGCACUACCCGCUAACGUCGUCCUACACGACAUGCUCUAUAGAGCUGCACGCACCACUCUCGGCUCCUAAGCACCUAGUAAGAGCCACCAGCCCUACGAGUGAUCUAUGGCCCGCUUCGCACUUAGCAAUGCUACAGUGCUACUGCCAACACACUCACCCGGCUGAGUCAACAACCGCACUCUAUGAGUAACCACGCUCGAGCGCUCCACACAAGCCCGGCAUUAGGCAACUCUGCCUAAGCGCACUAACUACACGAGCAUGACUCGCCCAAUAAUCGCCACCAGCAAUUUGCUAGUGCCAUCAAGCUCGCUACCUGCUCCAGCAGGCGCUACGCUCUCACUGCAUAAGCACGCUCGGGUGUCUACGCUAACCCGUCCACUUGGUCCCUACUACAGUAACACAUACAAGUAGUAGCCAAUGACCACAAGAAAACGCAUACAAUUUCUUAAGUCUACAACAUGCAGAAACGUAUGAUUGCCUCAAUUAAAUCAUACCUGCCAUGAUGUCACGCUCCUCGACCUCAACAGGUCCCUCUAACUGAGCUGCAACUGCUCGACCGCUCGGAGCCGACCGGGUCACCUCAAGCUGACGCGGCGCCAUCGUACGUCCCACCGAUACGGUAGACGGCGGAACUCCAGCCAACUGUCUCGGAGGCACUGAGGCGAAUGUAACAAACGGUGCAGGCGACGCUCCCUCUGGGCAGUAACGACUUAUAUGCCCCGCCCGACCACACCUGAAGCACCGUCCCGCCUUAUGCUCACAAUUUCCUGCGCGAUGCUCUCCACCGCAGAUCACACAUCGCUUAGGCCCAUAGCCAUCAGACUACCUCACCCGAUACUUCGGGGGCUUCUGGGAACUAAACUGUCCCCUCGAACUACCGCCAGGUCGCUUCUUUACUCCACUCUCCUUGAACGCCUCGCGUUCCUGUCUCACUUCCCCAGCUGCAGCAUCGAGCAUCGUAGGACCCGAAGCCGCCAGAGGAACACUAACCGACGGGGAAUGUACCGCCAUCGGAACCGCUGCCAGGCCCUCACCCUCAGCCGCAUUAAGCACGCGAAUCGAGGAUGCGGGCAGACCACGACCUUCAGUCGUCGUCGCGGUCGCCGCCGCUACCAGCUGCUCCAAACACUCCUGGAGCCGCUCGAUCAACCUCCCUUGGUGCUGAACCACGCCAACUAGUGCAGUCAUCUGCGCCCGCAGUUCUUGCGCCUCACUUGAUCCAGCUUGUUCUGGCACCUCGGCAGGCUGUGCCGGAACGGAUCUACGCACGUAGUGUCUCAUUGGUGCCAUUAGCUCCUGAAACACAAGAACUUGGUCAAUCACCUUAACUUGUUAGCUUCGCCGCAAGAGCGAAACAACACGACUCAAUCGGGCGAAAGUCACACCAGGGUGCCUAUUCUCACCACUCAGUUUCAUAUUGUAUGCAUCCAACAUGAACACUCUCGUGUGAGAAUAAACAGAACCUUGAAUCCACCUCUAACAUCCGUCUUAGAGGUUUACUAACUCGACCCAAUCAAUUCAACUUCCGCCACCGUAUAGGUUUACGUUCCACUCACGCACCUAUAACCUUAGGGUUCACCGUCCUAGGGUCUCCUAGGUCAGUCCUAGACUCUCUCUUUGCUUGCUCUUAACUCGCUCUGAUACCACUACUAGUAGCAAAACUUACACUUUAGAGCCCUAGGUUACAACUAGGCAAUAAAUCACUAAAUUGAUCCUAGAAAAACAAUACUAGCAAGGUUCACUUUAGCCCGGGCCCAUGCCUCUUUAUGACAUUGGCCCAAUCUCUCAAAUAGUCUAAGUCCUCAAGCCUCUCUAGGCUUCCAAAAAUCCCUAAUGUCGCAAUUAGCAAAUAAGCUAAAUGCAUGAAAGCAAGGUUCAUUUUCAUAAUAGGGAUCUUAGUUUCAAAUCUCAACCAGAAUGCUAUUUCACACAUGUAUGCUCUCUACUACCUAGAGGCCCAAAAUUUUACUAUAUGCAACAUAGGCAUUUUAAGCAUUCUAAAAUUCACAAUAAAUACAUAUAACAAGAAUAUGCAUACUUUUUUAUUUUAUAAUACUUAAAUCAUCAACUAUGAGAUUUUCUUAUUGUGUGGCUAGUCAAACCCACCGAACCAUCGCGUGCUCCUUCGAUUCGCCGAACGGAGUUGUCCACGAGUCUCAAAAUACCCUAAAAGUAUUGAGCGAAGAGAUACACGGGCAUUACGAUCAACUAUAGGAUCAAACAUUAACCAUCUCAAAAAUAGGGUCAAAACUCACCUCUAGUGCAAAAUCUCUUCCUAAGCUCCAAAAGAGAGCUAAAUCCCUUCCAAUCCAACCCAAAGGAAGGCUCUAAUCCAAGUGAUCAAGCUCCAAAAGCCCUAGAUCAAAAAGCCCCAAAAUCAACCCUAAAAUCUCAUUCUAGGGUUCCAACACAAGAAAACCUCAAAUCCAAAGUCUAGAUGGAGAGAAAGGGCUACCAACCUCUAAGAAGCUUCAAUCCAAGCUCAAAGGGUGAAGAUCUCCUCUCUUGCAAGCUCCAAGUCUAAGUACCAAGUACCAAUGAAGAAAAUAGGGUGAGGAAGAUGCUCCAAGUCCACUAGUAGCUCUCAAACUUCUUCUUCUUCCCUCCUUCUUCCCCUUCUCCUUCUUCUUCUUCUCUAUCAAGAGUGUAGAGAAAGUUGAGAGAAGAGAAAUGAGGUGAAGAGAGAGUGGAUGGGUCAUAUAGACCCUCUAUUGUAACAAAAUCCAACUCGGUCCCUCAAAAAUCCAAUAUUGCAACAGCCCGGUCUGGGCAGUUUUCGCCCAGAGGGACCGGUCUCUCCCUAGCAGGGACCGAUCUCUCGCUGCGAACCCGAGAAACUAACGUUCGGGAACCGGUCUCUCCCUGCGCGGGACCGGUCUCUCACUGCGUAGACGCGCUCGGGGACCGGUCUCGCCAGCCAGGGACCGGUUGCCUCAGGGCUGCCGCAACACUUCUCACUGGGGGACCGGUCUUUCCUUUCAGGGACCGGUCCCCGAGAGUAAAAACUCUCAGGACUCGUCCAGAAUUCAGGUUUUCGAACUUUUUAGGUCGGAAAACAUUCUACGACCCUCCACCAAGUGUGGAAAAGCUCGAAACCCAUCCAGUCACUCAAACCUCGCAAUUUGCGAAGGUCCAGUGUGCUACACUUCUAUUGUUACUAUUGCAUAGUAUAUAUUAAGCCUUGCACCCAUGUUAUUCCAUUAUACUCUGCUCAUUGUUUGCAUGCUUAGUAUCCUGAGUAAGAGUCACUACAAAAAUUUAGGUCUUUUGCGACCAACACUAUUUGUCGCUAUAGGUCCUGCGUUGCUCUGGUAACGACUUACCAAGAUAACAGCGAAGCAAAUGUCAGGCCGAGUACACAUCAUAGCGUACAUCAAACUGCCAAUUGCACUCGCAUAAGGUACCUUACUCAUUUGCUCCUUCUCUUUAUCCGUUUUAGGGCACUGAUCAAGACUCAGAGUUUGAUUCUUCUCCACUGGAGUAUCAACGGGUUUACAAUGAUGCAUCCUAAAACGCUCUAGAACCUUUUUAAUAUAAGAUUCUUGAGACAAACCAAGAAGCCUUCUAGAGCUAUCACGGAUUGCCUUUACUCCGAGCACAUAGCUCGCCUCACCCAUGUCUUUCAUUUCAAAGUUGAGAGACAACCACUCCUUAGUGGUAUUGAUUAACUCCAUGUCAUUUCCAGCCAAUAAUAUGUCGUCGACGUAUAGAGAGAGAAACAAAAUCCCAUUCUCUGUUUUCUUGAUAUAUACACAGUGAUCCUCCUCUAUCAUGGACAUACCGAUAGAGGUGAUGGCUUCAUGAAACCUGAAAUACCACUGUCUCGACGACUGCUUGAGACCAUAAAUGGAUCUUUUAAGACGACAAACUUUGUCUUCUUGACCUUUGAGUACAAAACCCUCAGGUUGAUCCAUAUAGAUCUCCUCUGCUAAUUCUCCGUUGAGAAAAGCUAUCUUGACAUCCAUUUGGAACAAUUCCAAAUCUAGGAGUGCCACCAAGGCUAGAAUCAAACGAAUGGAGGCAAAUCUCACAACGGGAGCAAACGUCUCGUUGUAAUCUACCCCUUGCCUUUGAGUGUAGCCCUUAGCCACGAGCCAAGCCUUGUAUUUAUCGAUUGAUCCAUCCGCCUUGCGCUUAAUUUUUAAAACCCAUUUAUUUCCAAUAGACUUGCGCACAGGCGGAAGGUCAACCAAUUCCCAUACUUGGUUCUUGCUCAUGGAAUCCAUCUCAUCUUUCAUAGCAGCCAUCCACUGACUGCAAGCUGACGUCUGUAGAGCUUCUUUAUAAGAAGAAGGUUCAUCGUCAUCGAGCGAAGUACACAUGAAAAUAUCCCCUUCGAUCUCAAAAUGUCAACGGGGAAUAUGUCCACGUUCACUUCUACGCAAUGGAGGGUCCGAACUGCCGACUUCCAAGGGUAUGCUUUCAUUCAACGAAGCACUCCUACUAGCCGGAGGAUCGCUACCACUUCCUUCAGCGACUUCGGGAAGUGAUCGAUCACCCUCAAUAGCAGAUGGGGUAUCGUCGUCCUGUAACUCAUACAAUCUGACGUCUCUUCGCAUUUCACCAAUGCUUGGAAAAUCCCUUUCUAGGAAUUCCAUAUCACGAGACUCAAUCUCAGUCAUACCACCAUCUGGGUGUUCACCAUACAUCACAUAACCCUUCGAAUUUUCAAGGUAUCUGAUGAACACAUGCUUGCUCGCUUUAGGGCCGAGUUUUCCGAAUUUAUGUGAGGGGCUAUGAACAUAUCCAGCUGAACCCCAAGGGCGUAAGUAGUGUAAACUUGGCUUUCUACCGCUCCAUAACUCAUAUGGGUUAGUAGGCACUGAUUUGCUAAGAACUCGAUUAAGGAUGUAGGCUGCAGUCAAAAACGCAUCUCCCCAAAAAUUUAUAGGAAGUUGCGCUUGCACCAUCAUCGACCUAACCAUGUCUAAUAGAGUACGGUUCCUUCGAUCUGCAACACCAUUUUGUUGUGGAGUACCAGGAAUAGUGAGCUGUCUACUAAUGCCCUUUUCCUCACAAUAAGUCUUGAACUGAUCAGACAAGUACUCAUGACCUCGGUCAGUGCGAAGCGCCUUUAUACUUCUUUCUAUUUGAUUCUCAGCCUCCGCAACGAAGCGCUUGAAGCAAUCUAAAACUUCAGAUCGGCGAGAAAGCAAAUAGACAUAUCCAUAACGGGAAUAAUCAUCAAUGAAUGUGAGAAAAUAGCACGCACCAUGCCGGGCCCUUACAUUCAUUGGCCCACAAAUGUCAGAGUAGAUUAGCUCUAAAGAAUGAGAGGCACGAGUAGCCUUACCAAAAGGCUUUCUACAUGCCUUUCCAGCCAGACAAGGCUCACACACAGAUAGGUCAACUUUGGCGAGAGACCCCAAAAGGCCUUCUCGAGCCAAUCUAUUCAUUCUGUCUUGACCUAUAUGGCCUAAUCUGGCAUGCCAUUUAACGGAUUCAUCACAGAGAUUAGAAGAAGAAGAAGUAGAAGUAGUAAAUGUAAACGAAUCAUCCUCCAAAUCUAAUUUAAAGAAACCAUCAACUAAUGUACCAUAACCAAAUAAAGUACCAUGAAAGGAAAUGUCAAGGCGGUUUCUGUCAAAAUGAAAUGAAUAUCCUAGGUGCAACAAAGCUAAAACUGAACAUAGAUUACAUCGAAUUCCGGGUGCAUAUAGCACGUCCUGAAGAAGUAAAGUGCUGCCACCACGCAACUUGAGUUGGUACGAACCGACUUCAAGGACUUCUUCCUUCAUGCCAUUCCCAAAGGUGACGAAUUGUGUACCAGACGGUACUCGAUGGUAAUCUACGAACCCCACUCGGUCACGAACUACGUGUUUGUUUGCUCCUGUAUCCACAAUCCAAUCGGGAAGAGAAUGAGCUACUAAAGCAUGAGAGCAAACAAAAUAGUGUGAGUUGAGUGGUCGGGUUACCUUUUUCGGCUCAGGACAAUCCCGAACGAAAUGACCCUUCUUCUUGCAAUUGUAACAUUUUAGCUUUGUAGCAUCCUUAUUGCCAGCGCGCUUGCCUCUGUGGCGCUUUCCAACUCCACCCUAAGGAGCUUGAUUCCAUUUCUUCUGCGCUCCAUUGUUGUGACGCUUUUUGCGCUUGGGUGCAAUCCCACUGCGCUUCUCGGAGCGUGCAACAAGAGCGACAGAACGGUUCACUUCCAAGCGCUCUGCCUCGAGCUCAAGAUGGCGCGAGAUGUCAUUAAAUGUUUUAAUGUUCUCGCUGUACGUCAUCGGGAGCUUCAUCUGGGACCAUUCAGGAUCAGGCAGUGAACGAAUCACCGCUAGAACUUGUUGCUCAUCAGUGAGCUCGUUUCCAGCAGUCUUAAGGUCCCGAAUCAUGGCGCUCAUCGCACGAAGGUGCUCAGCCAUUGAAUGCUUCGGGUCUUUAAUGUAUUGUAGAAACUUAAGAUUUAGGGCACGUAGCCUUGUAGAUGAAGUUUGACCAAAUGUAAUAUUCAAAUUGUCCCACAUAUCCUUGGCAGUUUCAAAGAUCUCAAACUGUCCAAUGAGGUCGUCUUGCAUGGCACUCAACAUAGUGUACUGAGUAGUUCGAUCCUCCUUGAUCCAUUUGUUAUAGAUCUCCUUUUCAUGCUCAGAAGCUAUGCCUUCGGCAGGCAAGACUCUUUUGACAGAUAGAGUUUCAAGAACCCCUUGUUCAUUAAGCAGGUAUUGCAUUUUCCUGUGCCAAAUAUCAUAAUUCUUUCCAUCUAGCUUAUCACCCCUGGUGAGAUCAACUAUGAUGUUCUUGGAAGUCAUUUCACUACAUUCAAAAAUAGGUUUGGACAUUAGGCACAUAUUCCCAAAAAAAUUAACAAGAUUGAAACUUUUAUCCUCGACACAACGGGAUCGAAAACUUCGCUAUGCUCGUAAUCAUCACCCAGUGUCGAUUCAAAACAUUACAAUCUUAUUAAUUUUUCUACUAAUUUUGAAACUUAUCCAAAAAAUUUGGAACUUAUCCAUUUUGAAAGAACACAUCUUUAAAAAAAAUUAUACAUGAAGGAUUAAUCACAUAAUAUCAUCACACAGAAAAAAAAAAAAAAAGUACUUAUGCCAAAAUUUAAUUUGAAAAAACGUCGAUGCUGUGCAAAACACAUUCCUUUUACAUGGCCUUAAUUAUUACAUCACCUUUUGCGGAAUUAAAACCUACUACAUUACUACAAGAUGUACAUCAUAAAAGAAAUGAUCUACAGGAAUGCUGCACACGUCGAACCCGUUUUUUCAAAAUUAAAUUUUGUUAAAAAAAAAAAACACCGAAAUUACAUAAGUACUUAUAUGCCAAAAAAAUACACAAUCACCUGCUACAUAAGCAUUUUUAAAUCACCCACAUAGGAUAAACUAAACAAACAACACAUGCAUGUUUACAAUGGCAUAAAAAAUAUAUAUAUGUGUAUCCAAAAAAAUAUUAUGCAAAAAAAUAUUUAUUAAAAAAAACUGUGCUGCGAGCCGGGCCGUGCCGGGCACAUUAGCCAAAAAAAAAAGGUUUGCUCCCUGUUACUGUCGUUGGACCGGGUCCACGCCGGGCCUGCAGGUGGGCUCCGAAGCGGGCCGGGCCCACGUGGUGGCACCGGUGCUGGCCCGCGCCUGCAGUAGGCCGGACCUACGCGGCUCGCACGGGUGCUGUCCGCACGCGCAGCGGGCCGAGCCGGCGAGUGCAGGCCCGCGCUGGUGCACUCGGGUGCAGGCUGCGCUGCAGCGGGCUGGGUACGCGCCGUAGUGGGCCGCGGCAGGGUCGCGCAUGCGUCUGCCUUGGGCCGGGCCCGCGCGGUGUGGGCGGGCUGCCCCGCUCCCGCAGCGGGCCCCGCGCCCGCAGCCCCGCGCCCGCAGCAGCCGAGCCACGGCAGUUGGUGCGGGUGCGCGUCGCAGCGAGCCGCGGCGGGGUCGCGCCCACGUCCGCCGUGGGCCGGGCCCGCGCGAUGUGGGUGGGCUGCGCCCUGCUCCCGCAGCGGGCCGGGUGCGCGCCGUGCCCGCGGGUGCGCGCCGUAGCCCGCGCCCGCAGUAGGCCGAGCCUGCGCGGUGCGACGGUCUGCCGAAGCGGGUCGGGCCGCACUCCUGUGCGUGCGGCAGGCCGGGCCAUGCGCCUGGGUGCAUUCUAGCGCCUUGCUCGCAGGGAUUUUUUUUUUUUUGAAUAAGAUAGAUACAGCACAUGUAUAUAAAAAAAAUAAAUAAAUGCACAAAGUAUAAAAAAAAAAAGGACCUUGAUCAAUUUAAAAUAAAAUUAAAACUAAUUUAAUUUUAAUUUUAUUAUUAUUAUUAAACGGUUUCACAUAGAAACCAUCCAAAAACUUUUGUAGAACCGAUCUACGAAAAAAAAUGAUCAAGGAAACAUGCAAUCUAAAAAAAAAACAUCGCAUGCAUGAUCACAACGCGAAAACAAGCAUACAUGCUCUGAUACCAAUUGUUGGAAAUAAUAGGGCAGCGGAAACUUACAAACCGGAUAGCCAACGUAUCCGGGAACCCGAAUCGGAUCGGAUUGCUUGUUUUACAAGCCUUCUUGGAUCGUCCUUGUCUCGAUGCUUUUGGAUCUCCCACGUUUCUCGCCUUCUCCUUCGCGUACGCCUUACGCCACGGAUCGGAUGCGGAUCUGAUGCGACGGAUGCCGAUCGAAGAGGGCUACCAGAGUCCUCUUCUAUGUCCACACUCCAAAACCCCGGGAACGUAGGUGGAAAUCCCAGAGAGGAAGAAGAGAGAGAAUAAUGGAAUAUUGAAUUAAUUCGAAUAUCAAUCGUCUCAGAUGGGAGAAACAAGAGGACCUAUAUAUAGAAUAACGGAACCCCUAAAUAUCCUGAAUCUCACAAAGAGAUUAGGAUAAGAACUAGGAUAUAAUAUAUAUCCUCUAGUAGAUAUGUUUCUUAACUGAUAAGAAAUAUAUAAUUUAUUAUUAUUAUCCUAAACCUAUUAGGAUAAGUACUAAUCCACAUCCUAAGUGGAUCGGGUUAAAUUAAGACCCGCCAAUGUGGACACACCACAUGGCUACAAUCUCCCACUUGGCCACAUUGGCCAAUUCUCUCUCACUCAUUCAUCUCUUUAUACGGGUAAUGGAGCGUGCGACCUGACGAAAAGAAACACAUGCAGGAGUGCUAUAUUAAGUCACCACCCAACUAACAUAGCACAUCACUGACUUAAUUCGUCUAUGCCCUAGACGUUCCAACACACACCGGAUCAAGCAUCACAAAGUCCCUCUCCUGUAAUGACAAGGCUCGACCCUACCGUUAUUUCUCGUACUCAUGAUUAUCUCAAGUAACAUAACUGAGAUAACCGCCCGGGCAAUGAGUCACAAGACUUACGUGGUGUGUUAUCGAAACAUCUUUCUCAGUCCCUCACGUUUAUCCAUAUUAGUCCAAGCACUUUACUAGACGUGCUCUGCGAGAUCGUAUUUUCUCAUGACCCUGAGAUACACGCUAAGUUAGUUACUUUUGACCUCCACUUCAUAACGUAGUUCUAAGUCGAGGGCACAAAAGGGUUAGUGCUCACACAAUGACAUGGAGGGAAGAGCUUAUGUCACUCUACUAACUGGUCGACAAGCACAUACAGUAUGAUAUGUAUGCUAUGGCGGAGCUCCCACUCAAUGGCUCAUGUCACGCUCUAAAGAAAACGCCAUACGAACCUUGGUCUAGGUACCACUAAGGUAUCUAACCACCACAACUCAAGUCAUCUCUCUAACCUGAGUACUUAGGUUCGGCUACUAUACAGGCUCGAUAUGAAAUUUCACAAAACUUUGAUAUUCGACUCUUGAGAGUCUCAUCUUAAACUAAUUAAGGCGACUUUAAAUUAUAUCAACACUUCAUUCAUAACAUAUAUGAACAAAGUAAUCAUAUUACAACUACUCAAGUUCAAUAUGAUUAUUUAGUCUCAUCAUGCUCACCACCUAGGUGCCAGGGCGAUCACCCGUGUGAGUGGGCUGGUCUGAGCCUGGUGACUUAUCGAAUAUGUGCCUACUAGUAUCAAUUAUGCAAUCACAUUAAAAGGAGAAAAACAUAUUUUCAUUAAUAAAGCGUAAGAAACAAAAAAAAAAAAAAUGUCCAUAUCAAAACCUAUGAAGACCCAAACUCCUAACGUGGGUUUGGAACAUAUCCCUAGCUAUCAGCUUGGUCAACGGAUCAGCCACCAUCCUAGUGGUGGAUAUGUGUCUAAGAAUGACCUCGCCUAGCCUGAUCAUCUCUCGAAUGUAGUGAAAAUGGAUAUCAAUAUGCUUGGUCCUCCAUGAUACUUUGGAUCUUUCACAUACUUCAGGGCAGCCAUGCUGUCAGAGAACAUCUCGACAGGUUCAUCGACUCGAAUCACAAAGUCGAGUCGCUGGAGAAAUCUCCUCAACCAAACAGCCUCCUAAAACGGCUACUGAUCAAGCAACAUACUUCACUUCCAUAGUAGACAAGGCAACGCAGCCUUGCUUUUUACUAUACGAGGAAAUUGCGCCUCCUCCAAACACAUAGCCUGAGGUGGACCUUCACUCAUCGCCAUAACUAGUAUCGCUAUAUCCUUUCAAUCAAGUCCCCAUCUUGAAAACAUAGAACGAGAUCACUGGUUCCUUUUAAAUAUAGAAGGAUUCUCUUAACCGCUUGCCAAUGAAUGUGUCACGCCCCGAGCCCACCUCUUUGGUCGGAUUCGGGUGCGCCAACUGACCGCCGAACAGACAAGAUUUCCCCUGCACGCGGACAGAGUCUCCCCUGUACGUUCAAGGCGUCACAAUCAAUACAAGUACAAGAGGUUCCAAAUAGGAACAAUUUUCAACAACGAUUGCAUAAGGAAGGUAUCAAACAACAUAACACAUCCUAUGUUAUUACAAUCAUUCAUCUCAUCAUUUUACAUCGCAUUUUUCAUUACAUGGAUCCUCAACUUCCAAAUAUACAAUCGAUUUCUAAACAUAAUAUUACAACAUCGAUUCUUUUUUUUUCUUUUCUUUUCUUAUACCCCUAAGAAGCUGACUCAGGGUGCUACUAUCUGGUCUCUGUGGUAGGGCGCUAACUACGAAGCUACGCCCUUUCCUCGCGCCGCCGCGCCGCUCGCGUGUGAACCUGUACCCCCAAAAACAACAACACGGGGGUGAGACUAUUGUCCAUAGUCCUCAGUGGGUACAGCCACCCAAGGGAAGAGCUCAACCCACCAGGUCCAAAAGAGGCACUGCAACAUGUUAGUCCAACAGAUAUAUAUACAUAUAACAUCAUGCAAUACAUGUUCAUGCCUCACAAAUAUGCAAAUUAUGCAACUCUUAGUCAUUCUUUACCAUUAGCCUUUCUUUAGAAUAUGCAAUUCUUUAUCAUUAGCCAUUCUUUAUUCUUUAAUCUUUAUUCUUUAUUCUUUAUUCUUUAUGCUUUAUUCUUUAUACUUUAUUCUUUGUUCUUUAUCCUUUAGUAAGGGCACUCGCUCCUUAGGCUCAUCAUACACAUUUGCCAUUCUUUAUAACAUUAACAAGGCUUUCUCAAUUAUCACUCUUUCUUAAGGUUACAUUUACCUUAGCCAACUAUGCCACUCGACUCAGUCUUGAGUCAAUUUAUAAUGUAUACAAGAUCCACUUUCCAAUUCAUGAUUCUUUUUGGCUAACCCGUAGGUUUCGGCACAUUAACUUGCUUCACAUUAAGUCCAUCAUCGCAGGAACUCACCUGCUAGGACCGUCCUUGGGUUUCUCCAACCCGUGAUGCAAAACUCUGGAGCGCAUCGCUCGACGGGGAGCGACCGCCCUCGAGCACGGAACUCAUAGCAAGUAUGAUCAAUCCUUAACUGUAAGGAUAUGUAGUUGAAUCAUGGCUUUACACUAACUUUAGUGUUCUUUACAUCACAUUAGUUGCUAACUUUAGCCAUUAUUAUUGUUCUUUACACUUUGCUUAUUCUUUAUACCACAUUACUUUACAUCACCUCUAGCCAUUAUCAUUAUUCUUUACACUUUGCUUAUUCUUUAUGCCACAUUACUUUACAUGGCCUCUAGCCAUUAUCAUUGUUUUUUACACCACAUUUAUUCUUUGAUGUCCCACACUAACUCUAGUGUCCACUUUACCAUUUCCAAAUGCCACUCGAUCUAUGUUCAUUAUGCGGAUAUUUUGUCAUCCAUUGGUAGUCAUCACUUAGCAUUUUAUGCAUUCAUUAACAUUUACCACAUGCAUUCUCGGUUAGUAUAAAUCUCAUACUUACGUUUUGACAUCUGUUUAGCAUUUCUAUAAUAUACUCAUGUAAAUUAACAUCAACUCAUGCAUUUACUUGACAUCUAUCUUUAUCAUGCAUUCUUAAAUAGCAUACUUUAUCAUGCAUCAAUAGUAAAUAUACUACACUUUAGCAUGGAAAGCGACCUAAUCGCUUCGUUGAGCACAACCCACCUCAAAACGCUUUCCGUUUGCUUGUCGACACUUGCAAUCGGCCUCCCGCGCCACCCGUGACCCGGUUUGGCCCGAUCUUUUUCGUGACCACCCGAACGGCCUCCGAUCCACGAUUCGAAUAUUAAAGGUCUUCGGUUAUGUGCCACGGUGCUUCAAAUCCAUUUCCAUGAUUUUACGACGUCGCCUCGGCCCUCCAGGCGGUAACGAAGCCUAAACGUCCGUUUCUUUAACAACUUUGUAAC